UUUUCCGUGAUAGAAUUUCUUCAGUUUUCUUAUAAACAACUCAUAUAAUCGAGCGAGAUUCUGGGAUUAACCUGACUUUAUUCUUCCCAUGCUUUGGCCAAAUAUUUGAGACUCCAGUGUCGGUGCAUGUGAUUCAGAAGCUGGCAGAGAAUGAUUCAAAAGUUGGCAAAUUUACCAUAUUUUUGCAUUUUCCACGUAUGUGCAUCCAAACAAGAACGCCUAUGAUGAAAAGGUGAUAGACGUGACUGGCUGCUGCACC
rnacentral:lncRNA from 1 species